GAACUCUUUCCCCAUGACAACAAAAUAACUUCGAGCAGAAACGACUGACAACUUAAACCUCGGAGGACUCUGCAGGACGUUUCGUCCAUAAUUCAAACAUUAGUUUAUGUUUUACUGGUGGACCUGGACAUGUGGAACUCCAGAUCUGACUUUACAGCCCGGUCUUCCUCAUGGUGUGGGUCAGGGUUUUCGUCAAGAGACAGUUCUAGUGCUGGUGCCUUCAGAAGGAGCGAUCCGGGUCUAAGGAGGUGGCGGUCAAUGUACCAUCUGGAGCCUGAGAGUCCUACAAGGUCGUUUUCACCAUUUGGAGCA